AUGGGGUGUUCAUGCGCCUCCUUCCCGCAAAUAUACCUCGGUCUCCCUCUCGCUCCGACCAAACCUCUCACCAAUGUUUUCAACCCCCUAGUAGAGCGUGCUAGGAAACUUCUUACCGGCUGGCGGGCCAAACUUCUCGAUAAAGGCGAUCGACUUAUACUCAUCUCCGCGGUUCUGGAUUCAAUCCUCACCUACUUCAUGUCUGUCUUUCGCAUCCCAAAGAAAACAAUCAAAACUUUGGACUCGCUGAGAAGGGGUUUUUUUUGGGCAGGAGAGGAUGCCUGCUCAGGUGCUCAAUGUCUUAUUGCUUGGAAAAAUGUCUGUUUACCAAAAAAAUUCUGUGGUCUAGGGCUUAAAAACUUACAUGUUCAAAACAACCGCCUUCUUAUGAAAUUUGCAGAUAAAGCUCUCUCCACCGCCCAAACACCUUGGCUUGAGUGGCUUGAUCUUCAACAUCCGAACGCCUUAGUAUCCCCUCCACCACAUACCUCCUUCCUGUGCGGCACCAUUUCACAGCAAAUCACACUCUCCAAAAUAUUUCCUUCGUGCUCACAAAUAGCGGCUCACAUACUUAUUUUUGGUUAG
rnacentral:rRNA from 1 species